rnacentral:rRNA from 1 species
UGGUUAAAAAGCUCGUAGUUGGAUCUCAACAGCCUUGAAGCGGUUAACUUUGUAGUUUUACUGCUUUAUAGGCUGUGCUCUUGCUGGAGGUUUAGGGGUGCUCUUGAUCGAGUGUCUCUGGAUGCCAGCAGGUUUACUUUGAAAAAAUUAGAGUGCUCAAAGCAGGCUAAAAUGCCUGAAUAUUCGUGCAUGGAAUAAUAGAAUAGGAUGUCGAUCCUAUUUUGUUGGUUUUCGGGACUCGACAUAAUGAUAAAUAGGGACAGUCGGGGGCAUUUGUAUUCAAACGACAGAGGUGAAAUUCUUGGACCGUUUGAAGACAAGCUACUGCGAAAGCAUUUGCCAAGAAUGUUUUCAUUAAUCAAGAACGGAAGUUAGAGGUUCGAAGGCGAUUAGAUACCGCCCUAGUUCUAACCAUAAACGAUGCCAGCUAGCGAUCUGCCUGCGUUUUUACUGUAGACUGGGCAGGAAGCUUCCGGGAAACCAAAGCAUUUGGGUUCCAGGGGAAGUAUGGUUGCAAAGCUGAAACUUAAAGGAAUUGACGGAAGGGCACCACCAGGAGUGGAGCCUGUGGCUUAAUUUGACUCAACACGGGAAAUCUCACCAGGCCCGGACACUGGAAGGAUUGACAGAU